rnacentral:rRNA from 1 species
AAUAAGCGGAGGAAAAGAAACCAACAGGGAUUGCCCUAGUAACGGCGAGUGAAGCGGCAACAGCUCAAAUUUGAAAUCUGGCCUAGCCCGAAUUGUAAUUUGUAGAGGAUGCUUUUGGUGCGGUGCCUUCCGAGUUCCCUGGAACGGGACGCCUUAGAGGGUGAGAGCCCCGUACGGUUGGUUGCCAAUCCUUUGUAAAGCUCCUUCGACGAGUCGAGUAGUUUGGGAAUGCUGCUCAAAAUGGGAGGUAAAUUUCUUCUAAAGCUAAAUAUUGGCCAGAGACCGAUAGCGCACAAGUAGAGUGAUCGAAAGAUGAAAAGCACUUUGAAAAGAGGGUUAAAUAGCACGUGAAAUUGUUGAAAGGGAAGCGCUUAUGACCAGACUUUUGCCUUGCGGAUCAUCCGGUGUUCUCACCGGUGCACUUCGCUUGGUUGAGGCCAGCAUCGAUUUUCGCGGGAGGAUAAAGUCUAUAGGAAUGUGGCCCUUCGGGGUGUUAUAGCCUAUGGUAAUACUCCCGUGGGGAUCGAGGUUCGCGCUCUGCAAGGAUGCUGGCAUAAUGGUCAUCAGCGACCCGUCUUGAAACACGGACCAAGGAGUCGAACAUUUAUGCGAGUGUUUGGGUGUUAAACCCUCACGCGUAAUGAAAGUGAACGGAGGUGAGAGCUUCGGCGCAUCAUCGACCGAUCCUGAUGUCUUCGGAUGGAUUUGAGUAAGAGCAUAACUGUUCGGACCCGAAAGAUGGUGAACUAUGCGUGGAUAGGGUGAAGCCAGAGGAAACUCUGGUGGAGGCUCGCAGCGGUUCUGACGUGCAAAUCGAUCGUCAAAUCUGCGCAUGGGGGCGAAAGACUAUCGA